rnacentral:rRNA from 1 species
AUUGAACGCUGGCGGCAGGCCUAACACAUGCAAGUCGAGCGGAAACGACAUUAUUGAUUCUUCGGAUGAUUUAAUGGGCGUCGAGCGGCGGACGGGUGAGUAAUGCCUAGGAAAUUGCCUUGAUGUGGGGGAUAACCAUUGGAAACGAUGGCUAAUACCGCAUAAUGCCUUCGGGCCUAAGAGGGGGACCUUCGGGCCUCUCGCGUCAAGAUAUGCCUAGGUGGGAUUAGCUAGUUGGUGAGGUAAUGGCUCACCAAGGCGACGAUCCCUAGCUGGUCUGAGAGGAUGAUCAGCCACACUGGAACUGAGACACGGUCCAGACUCCUACGGGAGGCAGCAGUGAGGAAUAUUGCACAAUGGGCGCAAGCCUGAUGCAGCCAUGCCGCGUGUAUGAAGAUGGCCUUCGGGUUGUAAAGUACUUUCAGUUGUGAGGAAGGGGGUAACGUUAAUAGCGUUAUCUCUUGACGUUAGCAACAGAAGAAGCACCGGCUAACUCCGUGCCAGCAGCCGCGGUAAUACGGAGGGUGCGAGCGUUAAUCGGAAUUACUGGGCGUAAAGCGCAUGCAGGUGGUUCAUUAAGUCAGAUGUGAAAGCCCGGGGCUCAACCUCGGAACUGCAUUUGAAACUGGUGAACUAGAGUGCUGUAGAGGGGGGUAGAAUUUCA